rnacentral:lncRNA from 1 species
AUGAUAUUACUAAAACAUAAUAUUAAUACACUUAACAAAACAUUAAUAUACAACAUUGACGGAUAAUUAUGUAAUAUCAAUAUUAUGUAAGUAGUUUUAAGGACAUUCUGGUUGAUCCGUUUUUAGGAACAGUCUAUUAAAUAUGUAUAAUUUUUUUGCCUUUUACAUCAAUAAUGACUUCACGCGUGUCCCACCUCUUUGUAUUUUGGAUCCUAACGUGAUCUCCAGGAAUCAAAAAGGCUUCGAUCUGUGGAGAUGGAAUCGUAGUAUUUUUUUAAUGAUAUGUAUUUCUCUCUCUUCUUCUCUCCCGCCCUCUCAAAGCUGGAAAGCGACAUGCGAAUAUAGAAAAUUGGCAAUGCUGGGACAAGAGUUCUUUGAGUGAUGAACUAAAGGAAGCCCAGUCAUUAGAUUUUCUGAGGAUCAUCUUCAUGGAUUUGACGACAGCCCGUGGAUUUCCGUUGGAUUGGGUGAAUAUGGGGAUGCGAGCUCAUGUUUAAGGCGUAAACCUUUGCAGAAGCCCCCAAAUUCCGUCGGGAAUUGUGGCCCACUAUCCGUUCCAAUAUGCAAGGGAAGCCCCCAAUCUUCAAAAACGUCAACAUUAUAUCAGUGACUGACUUAUUUGAAGCCCUUCGUAACUAAAUUAAGAGGGGCGCUGACGCUGAAUUUGAUUCUAGAGAUAAUGAAGAGCCUAGGUACUUCCCUUUUCAUAUUUUGGAAAGAUAUCUUCCUGUCGUUGAUAUUAUCUUAGAGAUAAUAUAUUCAUUUGGAGAGACCUGAAUGACUUCAGGAAAAGAUUCAGAUAUGGAGUAACGUAUACCGUGAUGUCUGUUUAGGAGACUUCUCCGAUUUUGAUACGAAGAAAGACGAUCCCCAUGUAUCUCAAGCUUGAAUUGUUCGCUGCUGUGAUGUAGAGUCUUUUAGUUGAGUCUAUUUCGAGUUUGUACUCCAAUACCAAGUCGUGAAAAAUAAGACUCAGUAGCUCCUGUAUGAGGUAGAUCUUUCAUGGUAAAAGGUUGACCCAACCUUGGAUAAACAUCAGCCUCGAGAAAUGGAGUGGCCUGACCAAUUGAUAAAGUUUUCACUCGGAUUGUCGACGUUUUGAUUGUCGUGGCCUUACUCUGCACAGGAGAUUUAGCAUCACGUAGAUACUUAUAUGAUAUCAUCUUCCUCUCAAGUUCGAUCUUGCUCAGAUUCUUUUCGAUCUUCUGACUCUGAGUUCAUGUGUAUCCCCAUUGUCUACUACACAUUCCAUUUCUUCCCCUUUCUUCAGCCUCGUGAAACGUCUAUUUCGCCAUAUAAUUCUUCCUGGAUUUAAUCGGACUUGGUAUUUCCUAUUUUUUUCCUUUCCAAUAAUCAGUCCGUCAUCCGACCAUCGAUUAUUCUUGUAGUUUUGCACUAUCACCUUCACUCCUAUUUUUAACUCCGUUUUUUUGUUCUAUUUCGGAUCUUGGACCAUAGCUCUUCCAAUGAAUAGGUAAACACGAUCUUAUUGUAUGACCAAAUACGAUCUCAUUUGGCGAUCUUCCAUCUGCAUUUGGAGUGUAUCAAAAUUCCAGGAUUCCAUCUUGUCCAUUAAUUUGCGGAAAAUGGGAUGAAGAAGGUCCCCAUGUUACUCCACACAUCUUCAAAAAUGUCUGAAAUUCCCUGGAACUAAACUGAGGGUCUUAAUCUGUUCUUAUUUUCACUGGAAUCCCAUGUUCAGAAAAUAUUUUUCUUAAUGUCACUAUUACCUCUCCCAAAGAUGGAACUCUUUUGAAUUCCUCUACAUAAGGAUAUCCUGAAAGACGAUCUCCAUAUACCAAGUAAUGGUUUUCUCCAUACUCAAACAAAUCUGCAGACGUGCUCUCAAAUGACCUCAUUGGUAUUGGGUCCCUAAUCAUCGUUUCUUUUGGUAAACUAGGUAAUCUUUCUAUACAUUUUCUACAUGUUCUAAUCAUUUCUUCAAUAUCUGAGUUCAUUCCAGGCCAAUAAAUCGUCUGCCUAACUCUUCUUUUCGUCUUCUCGAUACCUUGAUGUGAACUGUGCAAUCCCUGAAGAACUUGAACUUGCCUCUCUUUUGGAAUUAUCAGCCUAUUACCAUAUAAAACAAGACCAUUUUCAGUACUUUAAUCAUAUAAUAUCUUGGAAAAGGGUUGUACUGAAUCGUUUAUACAAUUGACUUCAACUGCAUUGACUAAAUCUUUAUAUGUUUAAUCUUUCAUUGCCUCUUUUCUAAUAUCUUUUAUUAAUGGAUCAACGAAUCUUUCUUCAUCUUCUAAAUGAUUAGCUCUAAUAACAGCAACUUUAAUAACUUGUCUUCUGUUAUAUUCAGCAUCUCUAUCCAUCUCUUCAUCUUCCUCCGGAUGGGACACCUCGAUAAUGCAUCUUGUACUUCAUGAUAUUUAUCUUCACUUUUUACUGAAUUUAACGCUAAUGUAAUUUGUAACUAUCCAAUAAUUUCUAAUUGCGAUCUAUCAA